rnacentral:piRNA from 1 species
UUCUGAGCAUGCCUUCUCCAACUGCAG